CAGCAGCCACGGUAAUACGUAGGGUGCGAGCGUUAAUCGGAUUUACUGGGCGUAAAGCGUGCGCAGGCGGCCCGUUAAGACAGGUGUGAAAUCCCUGGGCUCAACCUAGGAAUUGCGCUUGUGACUGGCGGGCUCGAGUACGGUAGAGGGGGGUGGAAUUCCUGGUGUAGCAGUGAAAUGCGUAGAGAUCAGGAGGAACACCGAUGGCGAAGGCAGCCCCCUGGGCCUGUACUGACGCUCAUGCACGAAAGCGUGGGGAGCAAACAGGAUUAGAUACCCCAGUAGUCCCUGUCUCUUAUAC
rnacentral:rRNA from 1 species